UGUCAAUAACCUAUGACAUUUCGAUUUUUAUAAUAUUUUGCAAAUAUCCCAAAAUAUUUAACAAUGUUAUAAUUUACGUGUCAUUUACCCUUAAAUAAGAGCUUUACUUUACAGUGAUGUGUCUCAACAUAGAAAUAAUACUUCCGACAGUAAAGAAAUUUUUGCUUCUUUAUCCCUUAAAAACUGGCUGCAUUCUUGCCUACUUUUUGACAAUGGCUCGCUCUGUUUUCUGCGUGCUUUUCUUCAUGACUGCAUUACUAGAACUGGUUGUGGGGAAACCAUUCCCAAUCAGGCCAAUAUUCGUUGACAUAGAAAUUACUGCAUAUUACACAAUGUACUUUUCUUUCGUAAUUUUGUUGCUAACGGAAUUCGUACUGAUGGUGUUUACUAUACAUUUGGGCGUAGGAUCAUUUACCGGUGACUUGUGUUGUUUAAAGCAAUAUUUAAUAUGCCGUAUUAUAACUUGGGGAUUCGAAGUUGUGUUCUUACCUAUUGUAUGCUUCUCGAACAGACCUCUGAUUGGCUGGUAUUUAGGAAUGAUGUUUUUGGUUGUCUUAGAGUUCUACUUCUUUAUCAUAGUCUAUAGCUAUUAUUAUACUUUAGCUGAAGAAAAGGAAUUCGAAGAGGGCUCCGAUAAAAUACGUGAUUGAGGGUCAUAACAGUCAAUAAAAAAAUAUCCUACGAAAAAUAUGUUCGAGGCUUAUCAUAUCCUGAUAACGAUACCUUGAUAAUGCACACAAAUAGGUUAUGUGAACUAUGCUUAGUCAUAGACGUUCGUUAAAAGUGUAAAAUGGGGUUUAUGCUGCCGACUUUUAAGAAAUGUUUGUGUUGUGUGUCGCUAAGGACAGGGUCAUUUUUGAUUGGUUAUGUUUCAGCUGUAUUCUCCACAUUGGCUUUAACACUAAUUUCUCUAUCACUAUACAAUGUUAUAUAUUACGUUGAUCAUACGAUAAAUGAUACAAUUACUGAGACGAAGGUAGAAAAGCCAGAAGAUGUCCAUGAAGUGGCUACCAGUUUAUAUAUUGCACAUGCUUAUCUUUUAAUUGUGUUUUUAUACAAUUUAUUAAUAAGUCUCAUGCUCAUCGUUGGCUUGCAUAAGGCAAAUACAAAAUAUAUGAGAGACUACUUCAAAGCUGGGCUGUUUCUUCUUCUAUUGGCGCUCGCUACAGUUGUCUUGUCCACUGUGUUUUUGCACUUUAUUGUCACAAUUGCAUUAUUAAAAUGGAGUGUUAUAGUUCUCUACUGCCUCAUAAUGGUACGGAGUCAUUAUCUAGACCUUGAAGAAGCAAAUAAAGCACCAGUAAUCGAAAUGGAAAGUCUCUACAAUCCACCGAGAGCGUCUCAUUUGUAUGCGUGAAGAACUUUAGCUCAUAAUAACGAAUUAAAAACAUUAGUUCGAUUUACUAUAAUAGUCUUUUGUCUAAUAGGAAGUAAAUUA